ACUGUCUUCAACCAAAUGUAAAAGUUACGUCGUAAUUCGCACAAAAUGACAAUUUCACCAUGGACAACCAAUCAAUAUCACUGAUGAUUUUGAAAGCAGCCGGUUCUCUAUUCCUUGGCGUCUAAAAUCGAUGAUCGGGCAACGUUCCCUCUGCGGCUUACUGUGACGCCAAAGGUGCCUUGAAAUCACGAGGUCUGAGCUCUAAUUUGGAUUUAUCUAUCCGAUCAGUUCCGAAGUUAACCGAAAACUGCUAUACAUAACAAGGUAAGGUAAGCCAACGUGUAGCUUCUGAGCUCCAUUUAAAUACGGUGUAUAAAAAUAGAAAUAAGAAAUUGUUAGCUAAACUAUGUGUUCAUUAGCUGCGUUUUACCACACUAGCUACUAGAUUAGGCUGAUAUUAAAAAAAGAAACAUAUUCUAAGUAGCUAGCCAUCUAGCUAAUACUGUAGUUAGCUAACUGGCUUGUUAGUCACUCGAAGCAACUUGCUAUAGUUUGCAUCUCCACAUCAUGAACACAGGUCCAAGAUCAGUUCUACGUGUUACAUGGCUCUGAUUGUGGUACAUGCUAUGGUUUGUGUGCAGAACCCAGACCUGUUAGAGCUUGUGCUGUAGUUUAUCAGAUUGAUCUAGCUAGCAAUAUGGCUAGUCCUGGCAGGUCUCCCAAAAAAUCGUUUACAAAAAUUUGAGACCCUUCAGACUGGUCUAUGGGGGGCCAAUACAGUCAAAAACCACAAUUCAUGGCGGACGCUGAUGAAGCAUGGGUUGAAGAGUUAUACAAGCUUGGUUAUAAACCCAUCCUGCUUCUGGGAAAGGAGACCAGGAAGGGUAAUCAGAAGUGGGUAGCUGAAAUGGUGACUGCCUUGGUGACUUGGCACCCUGCCAGAGACCCCCCACCCCCUCCCCAGUGGACCCACAGUGACCUUCCUUUCAUCUGAGGCCUGGCAAGUGAAUCCACAGUGACCUCCCCUCCAUCUGAGGCCCAGGCCAGUGAACCCAUAGUGACCUCCCCUCCAUCUGAGGCCCAGGCCAGUGAACCCAUAGUGACCUUCCCUCCAUCUGAGGCCCAGGCCAGUGAAACCACAGUGACCUUCCCUCCAUCUGAAGCCCAGGCCAGUGAACCCACACUGACCGCCCCUCCUUCUGGGCCACUGGCCAGUGAACCUGCCAAGACAUCAACAUCCCAAGACAGCAGUGGGUGUGGACUUUUAUUAUUUAUGUAAACUGUGAUCAGUACAUUUAUUCUCCUGAAGUACAGUUGUGAGGCCAGAUUUUGAUAACCGGUUGAUAUAAUCAACACUUAUGUUUUUUUUUUUUUUUCUUUAGCUCCACUAGGCACAGAAAUGAAUAAACAUGCUGUGUUUGUAGGGGUGGCAUGUAGCAGCAUGGUAGUGUAGUUUAGUAUUGUGUCAGGUUUUUGAGCUGUUUAAUUUAUUGUUUGAAUAGUUUUUUAUUAGUUAUUAUUUUUUAGCUAUUAUGAGUUAUUAUUUUUUCAAGGCUAAGAACUUCAUGUGGAGACAGUUGUGAAGCACAGAGUUAGGGAGGUUAGUCAGAACUAAAUGUAAGGGAAGAACAUUGAUUUAACUUUGAUCCAAUAAGCAGGUGAAGGGUAUUUUCUUUAAAUACUACUAAUACACAUAUAUACAGUGCAUUGAGAAAGUAUUUGCCCCAGUCUGAUUUUCUGAAUUCUUGGAUAUGUCAUUUUGUGGGUUGUAUAUACACUGUGUGCACAAUUAUUAGGCACAUCAUAUUUCGCAAGAUUUAUUUUAUUGUAGAACAACCACAGCCCUUUAUGUCAAUCCAAAAUAUAAUUCAACCUCAAACCUGAAUGUUUUACAAAGGAAAAGUGAGUUUUGAUCUUUCUCAGGGGAAUAUAAGUGUGCAGACUUAUUAGGCAACAAUUGGUGUGCAGAAUUAUUAGGCAACUAAAUUGCAGAAAUAACUCGUUUAUUCUCAAUUUUUUAAGUAAGCGUAACAAAUAGGUUACACAAAAUGACAAUUAAAAUGUGUCUUUUGCAAAAAUAUUCAGUGACUAAUAUAGCCACCCUUCUUUUCAAUAACUGCCAUGAGCCUUCCAUCCAUGCAGUCAGUUUAUGCGUUAAAGAUGCCGUCAAAGUGCUGCACAGGCGCCGUCAUUUACGGCGUCUUCAAUCACUCUUGUCGCCGUUCAAAAUGGAGUUUUUGCUGUUGUAAGACGGCGUUCGUGACGCCGUUCACCAAUCAGGAAACGCCUACAUACUUCCGGUUCACGAUUUCCUUAAAAAUUAAUUUAGAUGGCAUGUGUUGCUGUAUUUUAUUAGCUAUGUAUCCAAUUUCAUUUACAAUAUUUUUUUUACAAAUUAAAUUAUUAUUGUCUGGGACCAACUUACCUGUGUGCCACGCCCUUUCCAUUUUUCAAUGGACCCUAACAAUAAUAAGGUUCCCAGGCCUUUGAAAGUAAGACAGCACACAACAUCACACAUUCUCAACAUUUAAACGUGGGGAUUUAGAUUCUUCAAUGCAUGACACACCUCUGGUGGUUGAUGGGGAAAAAGCUGAAAUGUAUUCCCAUAGAACCUAACGCCAAUCAAAUUUGUAAUGACAUUUCGCAAACUUAAUGUGCUUACACUUGUGGUUUGGUGACAGCAGAGGCUGUCUUCUUGCAACCCUUCCCCAAUUGCCUUUUUGUUGAAUUGGUGGUGUCUAACUCUUUGAUAGAUGAUGACUUCAAUAUGUAACCAAUUUCAGAAAUUCUCAAACAGUUAUCUGGGAUUUUUUAUUUUUUUUAUCUUUCUUCGUUGAGAAACAAAAGCAUUCUCAUCCAAGAAAUGUAGUCACAGCACCAGUUCAAAAACCUAAUAGUGGAGAGGGGUAUUUUCAGAAGUGUAAGAGACUAUUUGUAGCCAUUGCCUGUUUUGUGAUUUUUUUUCUUGGGAUAAUGUUGACUCAAUUAAAGGCUAGAUUGAAAUUAUAUUGAGUUUAAGAUAAAGCUGCAAAAUUCUUUUUUCUGUGCAUUUUAAUCAUAUUUUAACGUGCAAUUAUAUCUGGGGUGUCCUAUAUACUUCGGAAAGUUGGUAAAAACAAUAUUCUCUAAGGAAUGGAUAUUAUUACUGUUGUAUGUUAUUGAAUCCUUACUCAUUAAAAG
ensembl:lncRNA